rnacentral:rRNA from 1 species
CCCUUAGAUGUUCUGGGCCGCACGCGCGCUACACUGAUGCAUUCAACGAGCCUAUCCUUGACCGACAGGUCCGGGUAAUCUUUGAAUCUGCAUCGUGACGGGGAUAGAUUAUUGCAAUUAUUAAUCUUCAACGAGGAAUGCCUAGUAGGCGCAAGUCAUCAGCUUGCGUCGAUUACGUCCCUGCCCUUUGUACACACCGCCCGUCGCUCCUACCGAUUGGGUGUGCUGAUGAAAUGUUCGGAUCGGCCGUUUGUCGCGGUUUCCGCGUCAUGUGGCUGAGAAGUUCAUUAAACCCUCCCACCUAGAGGAAGGAGAAGUCGUAACA